GAUUGAACGCUGGCGGCAUGCCUUACACAUGCAAGUCGAACGGCAGCACGGGAGCAAUCCUGGUGGCGAGUGGCGAACGGGUGAGUAAUACAUCGGAACGUGCCCAAUCGUGGGGGAUAACGCAGCGAAAGCUGUGCUAAUACCGCAUAAGAUCUACGGAUGAAAGCAGGGGAUCGCAAGACCUUGCGCGAAUGGAGCGGCCGAUGGCAGAUUAGGUAGUUGGUGAGGUAAAGGCUCACCAAGCCUUCGAUCUGUAGCUGGUCUGAGAGGACGACCAGCCACACUGGGACUGAGACACGGCCCAGACUCCUACGGGAGGCAGCAGUGGGGAAUUUUGGACAAUGGGCGAAAGCCUGAUCCAGCCAUGCCGCGUGCAGGAUGAAGGCCUUCGGGUUGUAAACUGCUUUUGUACGGAACGAAAAGUCUCUUUCUAAUAAAGAGGGA
rnacentral:rRNA from 1 species